AUUUGUUCUUGAACCAACUAUUUUCUGCUUUUGCAUUAUCUGUGCAGGUGCCAGUUCCAGGAGCAGCACGACCGAGAAUCCACCUUAUCAAGGACUGGAAAAUGAUACAAUAUUGGCAAUUACAAUUCCUGUUUUGGUGGGUGUGAUUUUGGCUCUUGUUCUGCCCCUGGUGUAUUACCUUAAGAAGAAGAAAGACAGAAAGAAAUUACUCCCACGUAAUAUAUCAACUUGUGUCCAAGUCAGAGGAUUUGGUACCUACAGCAGCCCCCUAUAAAUGGUGAUGCUGUUGUGGGAUAUAUGGGGUACUUCAGCUGUUUACCUGGAUUAUGUUAUGGCUCCCCAUCAUCACUAUACUAUCUAAGGUAAUGAUGAUGCUUAAUAGCUAGUGACUUCAUUCAUGAAAUCAGGGUCCCUUUGUGUUGGUCACUGAACAAACAAGUAACAGAGAAGACUGUCCCUGCCACAGACAGUGUAAAGUCUACAUAUUGUUAUUAAUCAUUAAUAGUAUGGUUGUUCUUGCUAUUGUUAUGAUUAAUCAUUGCUAUUGCAACAAUGUCUAGGGGCCUCAAACAGGCUGGGUCCCAUUGUGCUUGGUGCUGUACAAACACAGAGUAUAUGACAGUCCCUGACUCUAAGAGUUGCAGUAUAAAAGGGUGUGAACAAAGACAGAGAUUAGCUCCAUUAGUGAUCUGGUGGCUGUGUCCACCUGUGAGAGUCCUUCCCCACCAAGAAAACUCCAGCUAGCCUAGGGCAAAAUCCACUAACAAGUGGUAAGUUUUGCCCAUGCUGUUCACCAGUUGUUACAUGCAGGUUGUCAGUGCAGAGUUAAAAUAUCACAGUUUCCAGCAGAGGUAUGACCCCAGGAUGAUGUGGCUAUGAGCUGCCUCCCACUCCAACCCCCCUUCUGAUCAGAGGGAACAAGUUAAGCUGCCUUCUCCUAAUCCAGCGAUACUGGGUUGCAAACCACUCAUCAGAAAACAAAAUUUCCAUUGCACAGGAAAUUCCAAUAUUUCAACAUUUGUUUUCAUGCCAAAUAGGAAUGAAAAAUUAAAAUGUUGAUGUUUUCUGCAAAACCAAAAUUCCCACAAAAUCAUUUUGGAAACAUCAAAAGGUUUUGUUUUCAUAACAUCGAAACAUUAUACUAUACUAUGACAUAUUAGCUGUACGAUUUGUAAAUAUAGCAUAUAUAAUAAACCAUUAAAAUUAAUAUUUUAACAAUAUAAAAGUCACAAUCAAAUGAAUCGAAACAAAGUUGAAAUUAAACAUGUUGGCCUUAUUGAAGCUAAACUUGAAGUUAUUGAAACAAAAAGUUUUAACAGUAUUGAAAUAAAAUGAGAAAGUUGGACUAAUUCAUUUUGACUUCCUCCAGUCAAAAAUUUUGUCAAAUCCACAUCUUCCCAUGAAACCCUUUCUAGUUCAACAUAACUGAAUUUUCCAAGCAACUAAUUGCUAAGGCAAGGCAUGGUAAGUGUGUGGCUCUAUAGCAGCCUCUGUGUCACUUUUCUUGCAUAUACUUCUUAAAGAGAGAUGGCCCUUAAUUUCAAAAUUCAGAUGUGCAGCCGGAACACUCCAUAGUUUGGGACUGUGGUGCUUCGAUGCAGGGUUACACUCAGCAUCCUGAUGAGACGGGGACUACUUGUGCAGGUUGCAAAGCCUCCGUGAGAGGAACGAUAAUCCCAGUGAAGAUCAGUACACGGGUA